rnacentral:rRNA from 1 species
UGGGGAAUAUUGCGCAAUGGGCGAAAGCCUGACGCAGCGACGCCGCGUGGGGGAUGACGGCCUUCGGGUUGUAAACCUCUUUCAGCAGGGACGAAGCGAGAGUGACGGUACCUGCAGAAGAAGCACCGGCCAACUACGUGCCAGCAGCCGCGGUAAUACGUAGGGUGCAAGCGUUGUCCGGAAUUAUUGGGCGUAAAGAGCUCGUAGGCGGUUUGUUGCGUCGGCUGUGAAAUCCCGAGGCUCAACCUCGGGUCUGCAGUCGAUACGAGCAAACUAGAGUGUUGCAGGGGAGACUGGAAUUCCUGGUGUAGCGGUGAAAUGCGCAGAUAUCAGGAGGAACACCGGUGGCGAAGGCGGGUCUCUGGGCAACAACUGACGCUGAGGAGCGAAAGCGUGGGGAGCGAACAGGAUUAGAUACCCUGGUAGUCCACGCCGUAAACGUUGGGCGCUAGGUGUGGGGCUCAUUCCACGAGUUCCGUGCCGCAGCUAACGCAUUAAGCGCCCCGCCUGGGGAGUACGGCCGCAAGGCUAA